GACGAACGCUGGCGGCGUGCUUAACACAUGCAAGUCGAACGGAAAGGCCCUGCUUUUGUGGGGUGCUCGAGUGGCGAACGGGUGAGUAACACGUGAGUAACCUGCCCUUGACUUUGGGAUAACUUCAGGAAACUGGGGCUAAUAUCGGAUAGCAUCCCCCCCUCCAUGGUGGGGGUGGGAACUUUUCGGCGGUGGGGGUUGGACUCGCGGCUUACCAGCUUGUUGGUGGGGUAGUGGCUUACCAAGGCUUUGACGGGUAGCCGGCCUGAGUGGGUGACCGGCCACAUAGGGACUGAGAUACGGCCCAGACUGCUACGGGAGGCAGCAGUGGGGAAGAUUGCACAAUGGGCGGGGGCCUGAUGCAGCAACGCCGCGUGCGGGAUGACGGCCUUCGGGUUGUAAACCGCUUUCGCCUGUGACGAAGCGUGAGUGACGGUAAUGGGUAAAGAAGCACCGGCUAACUACGUG
rnacentral:rRNA from 1 species